UUCGUUCGAAGUACCAAAGAAGGCUCUCAUUUCGAAAAUGUUGUUACUGUUGAAGAGACAAGUCCAUACAAAAUUGAAUUAGAAAAAUGCUUGAGAAAUGUGUUCUGUACUUGGGACAGGCCAGAAAGUAGUCAGAUCUCAGUAUUAUGCAGAUUAUAACAUCAGACUCUAUACGUUACACAUAUACAUUAAACACUUUGCUUUCCAUUGUCAGACAGGUGUCAUUUAUGAGUUAGCUAUCUUCUUUUGAAGCCAGAGACGAAUGUAAUCCGUAUUUGGAGAACACAUUGGUCAGCACAGCCUUCUCCUUGAUCUUCAACUUCUUUCCAGAUCCUGGGAUUUCCAUCUUGGGAACCUUCUCCCUCCUCCCUUUCACAAUUGUCUUUUUCUUAGUAGCCCCACUUUUAUUUUGUUUCUUCAGAGAAAAUGAACCAGGUGUAGGUUCUGUCAUUGAUUCCAUGUUAUCAUUACUAUCCAACUCUGAUAUACUGAAAGAUUCCAGAUUGUCCACCACAUCUUGCAAUUUUUCUGUUACAAAUCCAUCCUCAGGGGAAGUUUCUUCAAAGGAUGAGUCAUCCAUAUCAAUAUGAGAACUCUUAUCUUCUUCUGGAGCAGGAACCAUUAAGUUUGAACCAGAGUAAGAGCUGUCUGCUGAUUCAUCAUCAGAAGAGAUGGAAGAGUGUGAAUUUGUCAUCACACAUUUUAUCUGCUUCUGAAUCCUGCCAAAUGCUACAUUUUGUCCGGAAAAUUGUUGCACAAACCUAAUGGCAUCCUCCUCGGAUUUGAAAUCAACAAAAGCAAAGCCCUUGCAAAUAGGAUCCUUUGUCUUUUUAUUGCCAGAAACAGCUGGAAUCAUAUUAAUGACACCAGGAACUUCUUUAAAUGUUGAUUUUAGAUCUCUGAGUAUAUUCUUUUUCUUUGGAAGAUUGACAACACGAACACGAAAGCCACUUGCUACAACAUCAGUUAGUUUCUUGUUUUGAUUGUCUUUCUUGGGCGAAGAAUUGAUAGGAUUAUUUUUAAGUUUAUUGAUAUUAGCAGCCUGUGCCUUUCUACUCUGUUCCAUUUCUUCGAGCAUCUUGUCUUCAAUACAGGUGUCAUACACCUUCCCUUCACCGAACCCACGGGGCUUGUUCUCUAGCCACUUUUUCAUCUUCCCAAAGGGCAAAAACAUCUCUUCAUCUUCAACAUCCUCAUUCUCAUCAUCGAAAUUAUCUAAUUCAUCAUCCAUCUCAUCCACACCAUCCAAGUCGCUCAUUUCCAUGAGGGCAGUGCCGCCCUUCCUUUGUUUCUUUAUCGCAUUUCCACACAAAAUAUCAUCUCUUUUCCCUAAAAGAGAACAGAAACUGAAAUGGGUACGUUGAGAUAGUUGUGGAGAAGAGAGGAAACAGCUGUUUUUGAAGGGAAGAAGGCGUGACGAAGCAGUUGAAGAUGAGCUUGAGAAAUACAAGAGAUGUGGCAUAGUUUUUUGAGUUUCAUUUGGCAUUUGAAUGCAAAAACAGAUGAAAUUGGCGGUAGAGGCAUUAGGGGAGGUGAGAAGAGAAGUUGGAUUGCCCACCAUCAUCAUUUGGCUCAUCAACUUCAAUUUCGACUCUGCUCUGGUUUUAGUUUCUUCCCAUGUGCCGUCUAUCAUGUCUGGCAACGAGGCUAAAUUUGCACUCUUCCCUAAUUAAAAGUUCAAAAAAUAAAGGCAACAAGGUGUCGUGGUGUAGUUGGUUAUCACGUCAGUCUAACACACUGAAGGUCUCCGGUUCGAGUCCGGGCGACGCCAUUUUUGCAUUUCAAUCAUUUUCUCACCUUUGUUGAUACUCGCCUGGCCUAUUCUGAAAUAUAAUUAUUUUGGCCAUGGUCUUCUUUUAUUUUUUCAUCUAAAUAUGCGACCCAACGGAGAUAUGUGGGUUUAAGAUUCACUAUUCAUCCACUCAACAUUAAGCAGCUCAGCCCAACCAAGCCGGAUGGUUUCCCACGGCAUACUGGUGAGGGGCAACAAGAAGAGUCCAAGGUUAGGGGGUGAAAUUUUUUUGCAGGCUUUUGCUUUAUUCCCCGUGAUUCCAAUUCCAAAAACCAAGGUCUAAAUGGGGCCAAUGACAGCCAUUUCAAUGCAACAGUUUUUUGGCGUUUUGAGAGCAGCAAGAACUAACGUUCCAAGGUUCUAGUGGAGUUGGUUGGCAAUGCCAUGAAAAUCAUGAAAUAAAAUGCCCUCAUGUUUGGGACUUGGGAGAUGCAAUCACUCAUUGUACUCCUGCUACUACUGCUCUUCUUUAGUCGUCCUUGUAGAACAUAAGCUGUCUCGUGAGGGCUUGGGAGUGGGACUCAGGGCCCUACUGACGAGUACUACAAACACGGCCUCACUACCAGUCAUGUCCUACUCAUUCUGUAACUUUGAAACCCUAUAUUUUGUUUCCAAUUUAGUCGUGAAUUCAACUAACUUAAUCUCUAUGUUCAAUCUUAAAUCAUCUCACCUCUGUUAUUAUUAGGCUAAACCAUCGGCCCAGAGAGAUUUUGAAAAUAAUUACUGCAAAUUUAGAAAUGAUAAGCCUCAUUUGUUGUUUGCUU
rnacentral:tRNA from 1 species